UUUUGACCCGGAGAUUGGAAGUGCAAGUCUUUCAACAACAUUGUUGGGAGAGUUACUUAUUUGAUAAGGGCCUUCAGGUUGCUUGCCAGCGUAUAUUUCAAUAUUCACCACAUAGCUUGUGUGAGACCAACAUAAGUCUUUAUGCCAUAUUUUGCGGGUUUAUUGGGAAGGUACUGCUUGAAACUACAUCAACCUUUGAAUGGAAUAAUCUUUUCGUCUACUGUCAAAUAUUCCCCAGGAUUAUACAUAGUUUUGCAGUUUGUAACAAAUUCUUCAAAUAUUUCUAUAAUCUAGAAUAUAUUUGAAUAUAUAUUUCUAUAAUCUAGAAAUGUUUGAAGAAUUCGUUACAAACUGAUGUGUUAUGUUGGUCCCACACAAGCUAUGUGGUGAAUCUUGAAAUAUACGCUGGCAAGCAACCUGAAGGCCCUUAUAAUUAUAAUUAUUUAUAUUUUUAUAUUUAUAUUAUAAUUAAUUAUAAUUAGUGCUAGUUUGUCAACUUUUUUCUUAUUUCAUGUGUGGGCAAAUCAUCGAAAUGCAAACACCUGAGUAAAAAGAAAAAUCGCUCGCGAUUCAUUACGGACUGGAAAAUUUCGAAUCCGGUUCCAUCAUCUGCCCAUAUUUCUUGAAAGAAAAGAUGGCAGGCCUUUCUUGUCCCAGAAAGUAACAAAAGUCCAAUAAGAACCCAAAUCUCUAUCUAAUUACUAUCUUUUACAUCCCUUUCUCGAGAAAAAUUCCUCAAAUCCUUGAGAUAUAUUUAUUGGUGUUACACACUAUUUUUUCAACUAUUUUAUUUGUGAUAAAUUUUCUCUAAGCUCCAACAGCUGUUGUGAUGUUCUUUCCAUCUCUUUUCGGUCCAGUAAGGUGAGAAAUUAUGUUGUAAGAACGAAUUCUUACCUUUGUACUUUGCCAUUCACUGGUCUUCCACCGCGUUCCAACUCGGAUUCAGAAUCAUGGUAGCUAUAUAUUUCGGUAUUUUCAUCAGAAGAUAUAUCCGAUGUGCCACCAACAACUUCAUUUUGGAUUCAGAAUUAGAGAGAGUUGAUGUAUCCAUGAAAUAUUUUUAAAAAUAAAUAGCAAAUGAUAGUUUUUGGAGAGCUAGGAAUAAAGAGUAAACAAAGAAUAUGUGAACAAAGCCAACAGAAAUACAUCCAUCUGAAUCUGAAACCUAAAAAAUAUAGGCGAGCUGUCACUCACGACCUGCCAAAGGUGUUACGUAAACACUCGCGCUGGGUGUAAACCACCCAGCUUAUCUGAAAUUCAUUUUGAAAUUCAUUAGGCCAAUCUAUGCUUCACCACAAAUAAUUAAGCUACCGAAACACUCAAGCUGCUAUAUUUAUUUUUUACAGUUUAGUAUCUUACUGGGUGUAAUACACCCAGCGCGAGUAAUUAAGGGUUAAAUCUAUAGAACCUAUUUCAAACGUUUGUGGUUAACGAUAUUUGAAAAGUGAAAGUAAUUUUGAUAUCCUUAUCUACAUAUUCCUGUCUGUAAUUUGAAAAGAACAUGGUGUAUAAUAAUAAAAUAAAUAAAGCUUCCAGGGCUAAGUUUCUUGUGUAAACCUUAUAUUUUCAAGCCUCCGACUUAUCAGUCCUUCAACAGGAGUAUUACAUUAAUAAAUUAAUGACAAAUACUAUUAUUUACAUACAGUUAAACCUGUCAAUAGCGCCCCCUCUAAAUAGUGCCUUCCUCUCUAGUGCCCGAUUUUAAAUAUGUAGUUUGAUGCGAUUUACAUUAAGAGUGACCUGUCUAUAGCACCCAAUUUUGGUGAGUCCCAAGAGGGGGCGCUAUAGACAGGUUUAACUGUAUAUAUAUAGAAAAAGUUUCUUCUAUUAACAAAAACGGCAACAACCUGAAAGUUUUAUUGAAAAUUUUGUUUGUUUGAUCGGUCUUUUCUGCCUUUUGACGGAUGGUUUUGUAUGAGUGUAUUUAUAAAAAAAAAACUUCAUUUUUCUUUUAUAGACAAUUGGUAAUAUAAGAUUGGAGUGUGGUUAGGUUUUAUAAUGUCGUCAUGCUAACGGCUGGGUGUGACAGACCGUAAGGAAGGAGCCGCAGUAUAUUGGAAGGUCCUGAACAAGAAAAUUAUUUACCAGAUCACCCAAGCCAACAACGGCUUCCAGACUAAACAUGGUAAUUCUAAACAUGGAAGAGCCUCAGAUAUCUUCAUGUGUUUCUAUCACAGCAAUUGGUAUUUCCUCUAUCUUGGGUGUGUAAAGCUGUUGUUCUGGGUCCAUGACAAUUUUCUGUUGUUGUCGUACCCAAUGAAGAGCCUCAGAUGUCUCCAUGCAUUUCUAUCAUAUCAGUCUCAAUGUCCUCUAUCUUGGGUGUGUAAAGCUGCUGUUCUGGGUCCAUGUCAAUUUUCUGUUGUCGUAUCCAAUGAAUAUGUUUGUCCCUCACAUAGCAAACAAUGACAAUAGCAACGUCUUUACGCAAAUUUGGCCUUAAAUACCCAUUUCUUGGUUUUUCAAGAAGCCACUGGAACUAAAAAUCUUUUUGGUCACAGUGGUACAGCCUACUCCACGCUGACGAGCGCCAACAGCGCGAAACACAUGCGAUUCGUGGAUGGCUUUUCUUGAUUUAUUAAGAAAUUGGUUUGGCCAAAUAUCAUAGAACAGGCUAAAUCAAUGUUUAGUUGAUUUCUGUUCCACCAGAUAGCGCUCUACCUUCUGAAAAGCACAUGUGCUCCUGGUCAGGAUAUGCCUUUUUUAUUUUUAAUUACAAUAUUUGUGUGUAAAAAAAAAACAUUUUUUUUUUAAUAAUCGUGCAUGGUGGAUGGUACAUGCUGGUUGAAUGAUAUCUUGAGAUUAUAAAUUAAAUUUAUGAUAAAUUCGUGAACUAUUUUUUGGAUCAAAAUAUCAUUUAUUUUACCAAUAUUUCAGUUGGCUGAACGCCAACCUUUAUGAAGGUAUUCUAACAUAUUAACCAUCAAAUAUACAUAUACACCAUCAAAAGUCUCAAGCUCUCCAAGCUUGUUACCCUAAUAUGAUUGAGUGGAGAUUAGAAAGAAGAAGAUAAAAAUUUCUAAAAACCUUACGCAAGAAGUUUCUUUAUUCGUGAACUAUUGAGUGUUUUAUAUAGAAGUGUGCCUAUGGGAUACAUGGUGUAUUAACCAAGUUUGGUGUAUGCAGGAUUGGGACCGUGCUAAAGGACGUGAAGUUGUUCAGUCUUCAGCUUAUUUCACGGCCAGCAAAGCACGGUUCAGAAUAGCUAUGAAUAAAAUCAAACAAAUUAAAAAGGAGGAAUCAAUGAUCAAAGAGGAAUCAAAGAAUGGAAGGAAUUAGUAAGUUUGCAUAAAACAUCUAAUGUCUAUAUAUAUAUAUAUAUUGUAGUAAUUUGCGAAACAAUUGGCCUGAUGAUGAGCUAAUGCUUGAAAGCUUGCCAUUUUUACUUAAUAAAGAAACUUUUUGCAAUUAUUUGAUUGAUGUAUAUCGCAUAAAUCCUUUGAAAAUAUUUCACAAUCUAAUUUAAUGUCUACUCAAAAUUGCAAGAUUGCGGAUGUAGACAAAUUACUAAAAAAAAAACAUGCCUUAACUCUUUAUCUAUAAAUCAUAAAUUCAAUUGUUUCUAUUGAUAAAAAAAGAAUUAUAACAAUAGUUUUUGGCAAUUUGUUUGUGUUUUUAUAUAUAUUGUAAAUUAUUAUCUCUACAGAUCUCAUUGUGCAAUGCUAAAAGUUAAAGGGCUUGGCUCAUGAGUAAUAAACCUUCUCAGCAGUUUUGCCAAAUUAAUCUUCAAACCGCAAUACUAUUUUUAUUUGUUUUGUUAUAUAAACUGUAUUUAUUAAGGAAGACAGCUUAGAAGUGUUUAGGGAACCUAUGGACAUAUAGGUCUGUAGAGGUACAUACAUAUAAUUUAUAAUACAAUAUAAUGCGGCUUAUGAUUGUAAAACGACAUUGGAAAAUAUCCCGCAUGAGUUUCUUUUAAAUGAAAAAUCGAAAUUUAUUUUUAAGGAGAAAUAAAGGCUAUUUCUAACCUUAGAGAUGAGGUAUGAAAGGAUGAAUCCCUGGGCACUUUUAUUUUUCCAUUUAUCGUUACUCUUCACAAUUCAUCCUUUCAUACCUCAUCUCUAAAGUUAGAAAUAGUCGUUUUUUCUCUUUAAAAAUAAAUUUCGAUUUUUCAUUUAAAAGAAACCCUUGCGGGAUAGUUUCCAUUGUCGUUUUACAUACAUAUAAUUACAAUAAAAUGUAUCGAGUGAAGCUCUUAUGCAAAUAUGGUUUUAUAUCAAAGCCUUAGUUAGAUGAAGAAAAGCUUGCCAGAAUGCAUUCUUUAAUCAUAUAAAUCAAAAGAGUUUUUUUUUUUGCUUGUUCCUAGUACACGUGGUAUAGGCCACGAUAAUCAUGGUGGGUAGAAGUAGGCGACUGCUUUUACUGUAAGUGCACCAUAUGUCUACACAUGUGAAAAGCAGUUCGACUUUUGCACCAACAAAUGUACCAGAGCCCCAAAAAAACGCAAACAAAAAGUCGUUGGACGAGUGGGUAACACCCUCGAUUCCCGUAUGUAUAUAUUCCCGUAAUGUAAUUCCUAGAUGAACCAUUCUGAUAUCACCCUUGUCUAACUCCAUCCUGAUGUGUUGAAGGGAGGAGGAGAAAGCGAGCCCAUGUUUCCACAACCUAAGGAAGUCCCCUUUCUUCAUUUCAAGGGAGCUAGGACGGCCCCUCCUACAAUCACGACCCCGCCCCUCUGCCACCAUAAGCCCCGCCUUAACAUCACUGACCCCACCUUUGUUGUUGUUGUUGUUUCUUAUCCCCUUGUGUAAAGAUUACACGAAUUCCAUGAGUGGUCUCAUGGAAUGGGGUGUAGGGGUGCAGCUUUUGUUGAUCAGGAUUUUUAAAGAGGUCUACUCCUCUUCUAACAAUGCUGCUGUUGGUCCGCGACUGCGUUAUUCUGCUUGUUUCGCAGCUGGCCUUCAUAUCUGAAGGUCGUUCCCCUAUCCGCCACCUGGGGACGCGCCCUAUAGCAGUCAGCUCUGCCAAGGGGACCCCACCUUUACUACCAUUGACCCUGCCUCCAAAUUUUUUGUACAUUAUUUGUAUAGAGAACUUUACAUUAAUAAAUGGUUAUUUAUUUUUAAAUAAUGGAUUUUGUUGUUAUAUAUACAGUGUUUUGUCAUUUAUAUUUUCACCAGAAUAUUUACACAUAUUUCCUACAAAUUCAAUAUGACAUUAAAUGCUCCAAGUGCAAUUGGAGGUUUGUGGUUUU